rnacentral:misc_RNA from 1 species
UCCGGUUUGUCACCGGCAGUCUGGCGCGAGUCCCCAACUUAAUGAUGGCAACACGCCACGGGGGUUGCGCUCGUUGCGGGACUUAACCCAACAUCUCACGACACGAGCUGACGACAACCAUGCACCACCUGUAUACCGACCUUGCGGGGCACCCAUCUCUGGAUGUUUCCGGUAUAUGUCAAGCCUUGGUAAGGUUCUUCGCGCUGCAUCGAAUUAAUCCACAUGCUCCGCCGCUUGUGCGGGCCCCCGUCAAUUCCUUUUAGUUUUAGCCUUGCGGCCGUACUCCCCAGGCGGAACACUUAUCGCGUUGGCUUCGGCACAGACAGAUUCGACUCCGCCCACACCUAGUGUUCAUCGUUUACGGCGUGGACUAC